rnacentral:rRNA from 1 species
AACGAACGCUGGCGGCAUGCCUAACACAUGCAAGUCGAACGAGACCUUCGGGUCUAGUUGCGCACGGGUUCGUAACGCGUGGGAACCUGCCCUUAGGUUCGGAAUAACUCCCCGAAAGGGGUUCUAAUACCGGAUAAUUUCUUCUGACCAAAGAUUUAUCGCCUUUGGAUGGGCCCGCGUUGGAUUAGCUAGUUGUUAGGGUAAAAGCCUACCAAGGCGACGAUACAUAGCUGGUCUGAGAGGAUGAUCAGCCACACUGGGACUGAGACACGGCACAGACUCGUACGGGAGGCAGCAGUGGGGAAUAUUGGAAAAUGGGCGAAAGCCUGAACCAGCAAUGCCGCGUGAGUGAUGAAGGCCUUAAGGUAGUAAAGCUCUUUUAACCGGGAUGAUAAUGACAGUACCGGGAGAAUAAGCUCCGGCUAACUCCGUG